CCCUUAGAUGUCCUGGGCCGCACGCGUGCUACACUGACGCCUACAGCGAGUACUUCCCAGCCCCGAGAGGUGGCUGGUAAUCAGCAAUAGGCGUCGUGAUGGGGAUAGAUCUUUGGAAUUAUGGAUCUUGAACGAGGAAUGCCUAGUAAGCGCAGGUCAUUAGCCUGCGUUGAUUAAGUCCCUGCCCUUUGUACACACCGCCCGUCGCUCCUACCGAUUUCGAGUGGUCCGGUGAAUCUUUCGGACUGCGCGCGGCUUCGUGCCGUGUCGCGGAAAGUCAGGUAAACCUUAUCACUUAGAGGAAGGAGAANUCGUAACA
rnacentral:rRNA from 1 species